UGGUCAAACGUCAGGUCAGGUUCCGCUGAAACCGAUAGAAAGUUGCACAGUCUUCCCGACGUAGUGGAAUCGUAAACAAGUAAACAGUCACCUGUUGUAGUAGUAGACUACUACUAUAUUCAUUUGUAACUCGUAGUACAACAAAGCCAGGCCUACAAAUACAGAAUGACCGAAUACUACUACGAUGCAUCUUACGAAAUUCAGUGCCCUGCCUGUAAGGGAACAAAAUAUCGAAAUCCUCAGAUGAAGCUCAUGGUCAAUGUUUGUGGACACCCAUUAUGUGAUUCUUGUGUGCGGAUGUAUUUUUUAAAAGAAUCUGCUCAGUGUCCAGAGUGUGGAAUUGUUUUAAAGCGAUCCAAGUUUCGUGUUCAGGUCUUUGAAGAUCCUUUGGUAGAAAAGGAAAUAGACAUUCGGCGAAAGGUAA